rnacentral:rRNA from 1 species
GACGAACGCUGGCGGCGUGCUUAACACAUGCAAGUCGAACGGACAGGCCCUGCUUUUGUGGGGUGCUCGAGUGGCGAACGGGUGUGUAACACGUGAGUAACCUGCCCUUGACUUUGGGAUAAAUUCACGGAACUGGGGCUAAUACCGGAUAGGAUCUCCUGCUGCGUGGUGGGGGUUGGAAAGUUUCGGCGGUGGGGGCUGGACUCGCGGCUUAUCAGCUUGUUGGUGGGGUUGUGGCUUUCCAAGGCUUUGACGGGUAGCCGGCCUGAGAGGGGGACCGGCGACAUGGGGACUGAGAGACGCACCAGACGCCUACGGGAGGCAGCAGUGGGGAGUAUUGCACAAUGGGCGCGAGCGUGAGGCAGCAACGUCGCGUGCGGGAUGACGGGCUUCGGGUGGUAAACCGCUUUCGCCGGUGACGAAGCGGGAGUGACGGUAAUGGGUAAAGAAGCACCGGCUAACUACGUG